CGACGGGAGCUUGCUCCCUUAGGUCAGCGGCGGACGGGUGAGUAACACGUGGGUAACCUGCCUGUAAGACUGGGAUAACUCCGGGAAACCGGGGCUAAUACCGGAUGCUUGAUUGAACCGCAUGGUUCAAUCAUAAAAGGUGGCUUUUAGCUACCACUUGCAGAUGGACCCGCGGCGCAUUAGCUAGUUGGUGAGGUAACGGCUCACCAAGGCGACGAUGCGUAGCCGACCUGAGAGGGUGAUCGGCCACACUGGGACUGAGACACGGCCUAGACUCCUACGGGAGGCAGCAGUAGGGAAUCUUCCGCAAUGGACGAAAGUCUGACGGAGCAACGCCGCGUGAGUGAUGAAGGUUUUCGGAUCGUAAAACUCUGUUGUUAGGGAAGAACAAGUACCGUUCGAAUAGGGCGGUACCUUGACGGUACCUAACCAGAAAGCCACGGCUAACUACGUGCCAGCAGCCGCGGUAAUACGUAGGUGGCAAGCGUUGUCCGGAAUUAUUGGGCGUAAAGCGCGCGCAGGCGGUUUCUUAAGUCUGAUGUGAAAGCCCCCGGCUCAACCGGGGAGGGUCAUUGGAAACUGGGGAACUUGAGUGCAGAAGAGGAGAGUGGAAUUCCACGUGUAGCGGUGAAAUGCGUAGAGAUGUGGAGGAACACCAGUGGCGAAGGCGACUCUCUGGUCUGUAACUGACGCUG
rnacentral:rRNA from 1 species